UCCCUUGGUACUCCACUGAAUACCUCCGGGCGGUGAAAAAAAGGAGGAAAAAUCACCAUCCGCCUGACUAGCGGUACGGCAGUGUGGAGACCUGUCGUAAUACUGCGCCCGUCUCAGCAUGGGGCAGUGAGAUCACAGCUUGCGGAGGCACUGUGAUCAUAGUCGUAAACGCAUGGCA
rnacentral:ncRNA from 1 species